rfam:Triticum urartu cultivar G1812 contig993566, whole genome shotgun sequence.
AAUAUACUCCCUCUGUCCCGAAUUAUUUAUAGCAGAAAUGAAUAAAAAUAGAUGUAUCUAAAACUAAAAUAUAUCUAGAUACAUUCAUUUCCGCGACAAGUAAUAUCGGACGGAGGAAGUAUUUA